AAAAUUAUUUUCUAGAAACUUCAAAUACGCUAGAUCAAGUCUAACGGAGCCGAUCGUCGAUUCGGAAGUUCCAUCAUCGAAAACGGCUUAGGAGCAUGGAGGCCUUCGUGCUCCUAAAAGCACAGCUGUCAUGCUCUAUAUAUAUAUAUAUAUAUAUAUAUAUAUAGUUAGGCCCGUAUACUAUUAGUAGCACGGAAGCUUCCGUGCUACUAAAUUGUUUUCAAUGAUGCGGCUUACCAAAUUGACGAUCGGCUCCGUUAGACUGGAUCUAUACUAUUAAAAGUAUUUGGAAACUAAAUUUCAUAAUAUUUCGACAUCAUUUGGCUAGUAAUCAAAAGGCUUCAAAAUUGAACAAUGUAAAACAAUCCAAAUCUGAUGAAAUUUUUAUAGAAAUUUUUUUUUCACUAUUUAGAGUAAGAUUAGUAUCUCUGAUUUUAAAUUCAAGUCUUUUUAUAUUAUUUUUAGGAGAUUUUUUUUCAGUCGUUUAUUUUUAGACUACUCGUUUGAUAGGUAAAUGAUGCUAAAAAUUUAUAAAAUUUAGUUUUCAAAUACUUUCAAUAGUGUAGAUCAAGUCUAACGGAGCCGAUCAUUGAUUUGGAAGCCAGAUCAUUGAAAACAACUUGAUAGCACGUAGGUCUCCAUGCUACCGAUAGUAUUCCAGCCUAGCUCUCUCUCUCUCUCUCUUUCUCUCCGUGCUCCUGAGCCGUUUUCGAUGAUGGAAUUUCCGAAUCGACGAUCGGCUCCGUUAAACUUGAUCUAGCGUGUUUGAAGUUUCUAGAAAAUAAUUUUUGUGAUUUUUCAAUAUCAUUUAUCUAGCAAUCGAAAGGAUUCAAAAUCAAUAAUUUUUAACGGCUAAAAAUAAAAAUUCUAUAAAAAGUGGUGAUAUAGCACUAAAAUUUUCGAUCAGAAAUAUUUAUCUUGUUGUAGAUUGUAUAAAAAAUUUUGUACCAAAAUUUCAUCUGAUUUGAAUACUUUUACACCGUUAAACUUGAAAACGGCAGAUAUCAACCAUUAAAAAUUAUGGAUUUUGAAUUCCUUCGAUCACUAGGUAAAUGAUAUUAAAAAAUCGCAAAAAUUAUUUUCUAGAAACUUCAAAUGCGGUAGAUCAUGUUUAAUGGAGCCGAUCGUCGAUUCGAAAAUUCCAUCAUUAAAAACGACUCAGGAGAGCAGCCUUGCUCUCUCUCUCUCUCUCCCUCUCUCU
rnacentral:lncRNA from 1 species